UGGUGCGGCUUACAGCGGUUUAUAAGCGGCGUCAUGGGGUGUCGGGGGUCGGAGGUUCAAAUCCUCUCGUGCCGACCA
rnacentral:tRNA from 1 species